rnacentral:rRNA from 1 species
ACUCCUACGGGAGGCAGCAGUGGGGAAUAUUGCACAAUGGGCGCAAGCCUGAUGCAGCCAUGCCGCGUGUGUGAAGAAGGCCUUCGGGUUGUAAAGCACUUUCAGUCGUGAGGAAGGUAGUGUAGUUAAUAGCGCAUUUAUUUGACGUUAGCGACAGAAGAAGCACCGGCUAACUCCGUGCCAGCAGCCGCGGUAAUACGGAGGGUGCGAGCGUUAAUCGGAAUUACUGGGCGUAAAGCGCAUGCAGGUGGUUUGUUAAGUCAGAUGUG